GGCGCCCAAGAUGACCUUAAGCGGCUAGGUCUUAGCGAAUCAGGCUCCAGGCGGUACGUGAGGUACCUAGAACAGGGAAAGACCCCCGAAGAGGCCCGAAAACUGGCACUUGCGAGAACCAACCCCAAAGAAGACAGCAAAAGCGAUGAUGAGCAAUGGCGUAAGCAGACCGCACCCGCGGACAUCGCAGCCAGAAGAUCGCAGGGCACGAUGAAAAAUCGCGCAGUAAGACCACACCCGCCGAAGUGCAGAAGAGCGGGCAGCACGACGAAGAGGCGCGCAGUCUGACCGCAGCCGCCGAUGAGCCACGACGGGAACCGGGGUUAGGCACGUCGAUCAAGCGGCUUCGCGGGUGGGUGAUGGACAAACUCAUAGCUACUCUGAUGCUCUGAUGCCAGAUGAGCUGACUACCCUGCAGGACAUCAUUAUGGACGAAGUUUUUAAGGGGUGGACGCAUCCGCUGGCUUUCUGCGGGGUCUACUUCCGACCAGGUAUGCUCCUUGUGGACUGCAAAGAUGAAGGCACCGCAAAAUAUGAUUAUACGGCCCUGGCGGCAGAUCCCCCUGCCCCACCAACUGCGUAGUCCUCAGGCGCUCCAGGGGGCCAACUUAACCCUCCCUCGGAACCCCAAGGCACCAUAAUGCGAGACAUAGCGGCUCUUCCACAGGAACAGAUCCCCUCCACACAACAGCUGCUUAAGGGACUUGAUCUUAAAAGGCUUCAGCUGGACGGGAAAAGCGAGAGCGACCUAAGGCUCUCGGACCUGGACGAGCAAAGAUCAGGCACCCACCGCCCUUGAAAUUAGCCCAGAUCAACUUGCACCAUGCGAUUGCAGCCUCAGCUGUAAUUGUUAGCAGGUUUUCUACGGACGAAUUGCAUAAGUAUAUCAAGAGCCGUGGACUUACAGAGGCCAGAGUUUUUAACGCAAGAUUUGGUAGCAGUGCAGAAUGGAAGGCCCUUAGAACAAGUCUUCGCUGCUGCAUAUUUUCCGGGGGACAACAACACCAUACCCCCAGCAGAAGUACAACAACUGGUGUCGCAUUCACUUCCUCUUCCUCGGAUCUGACGAAAAUGCGCACCACGUGGAGUGGGGGAGCCCCGAAAUCAACAUCACAUAUUAAGCGAAGAUUUCUGUAUAAACAAUGUUGGGCAUUGUCCGUCGUUUGUCACCAGAGUAAGACAGGAGGUCCUGGACCUCACUCUAAGCAACAGCCUGGGUAACGAUCUGAUCACAUUCCUGCUCGGAGCGGAGGUCACGGUACAACUUUUCGGCAAAUACAUAUGUUCAUAAAUCAGCAGUAUUGCAACCAUAAUGUGUAACACCUUUUUUCGGAUUCCCGAUCCUCUAGCAUACCUUUAAAAUAAAAAUGUCAGAAUGUGUUCUAUAAAAAGUUAGAUAUUACACCAUUUAUUUAAUAGCCAUAUAUUUGUAUACUUAAUAAAUUCUAUAAAUGUUUUUUUGAAAAAAUUUUACAUUAAGAAUUUUCAAUUUAGCUAUAUA